rnacentral:rRNA from 1 species
UGGGGAAUUUUGGACAAUGGGGGAAACCCUGAUCCAGCCAUCCCGCGUGUGCGAUGAAGGCCUUCGGGUUGUAAAGCACUUUUGGCAGGAAAGAAACGUCAUGGGUUAAUACCCCGUGAAACUGACGGUACCUGCAGAAUAAGCACCGGCUAACUACGUGCCAGCAGCCGCAGUAAUACGUAGGGUGCAAGCGUUAAUCGGAAUUACUGGGCGUAAAGCGUGCGCAGGCGGUUCGGAAAGAAAGAUGUGAAAUCCCAGAGCUCAACUUUGGAACUGCAUUUUUAACUACCGGGCUAGAGUGUGUCAGAGGGAGGUGGAAUUCCGCGUGUAGCAGUGAAAUGCGUAGAUAUGCGGAUGAACACCGAUGGCGAAGGCAGCCUCCUGGGAUAACACUGACGCUCAUGCACGAAAGCGUGGGGAGCAAACAGG